GACGAAGGGGGCUAGCGUUGUUCGGAAUUACUGGGCGUAAAGCGCGUGUAGGUGGUUGUCCAAGUUGGAUGUGAAAGCCUUGAGCUCAACUCAAGAAAUGCAUUCAGGACUGGGCGGCUAGAGGACCGGAGAGGAUAGUGGAAUUCCCAGUGUAGUGGUGAAAUACGUAGAGAUUGGGAAGAACACCAGUGGCGAAGGCGGCUAUCUGGGCCGAUACUGACGCUGAGGAGCGAAAGCGUGGGGAGCGAACAGG
rnacentral:rRNA from 1 species